UAUUUUAAACCUUCCUGAGUUUGACUAACUUUGUCAAUUCUGGAGUUAAGCUUCCAGCUACAGCUGAUUUCUUAACAGCUUCAUAACUAUCUGAAGAACAAAUGCUACAAUUAUCUAAUCCUGCUUCUAAGGGGAAACCGCAAUAGCAAAUAUUUUCCAUACUAACUUCUUUUGGUAUGUAUUCCCAUUUAUAUUUGGUAUACUUAGUAUGCAACGGAUCAUUUCUUCUGACCCAAACAUUUGCCAUGAAGUCAUGCCUGAGAACCAUAAACCAACGCAUAGAUUUAGUGGAAUGCCUGGCAUAUUGGGCCAGCCUAACAUGUUUCGCUUCCCUCCCUUGCAUGCUAUUGAGGCCCAAACUUAAACCGUACUUGUCAAAUAGUAUCUGAGUAUGUCUAGGAAUGGCAUAACCAAUAGUCCAAAUAGUGGGUGUGAUGUUAUUAAAAAGCAG
rnacentral:lncRNA from 1 species